CUACGGGUCGCUCCAGUGAGGAAUAUUGCACAAUGGGGGGAACCCUGAUGCAGCAACGCCGCGUGGAGGAUGACGCAUUUCGGUGUGUAAACUCCUUUUAUAUGUCAAGAAAAUGACGGUAGCAUAUGAAUAAGCACCGGCUAACUCCGUGCCAGCAGCCGCGGUAAUACGGAGGGUGCAAGCGUUACUCGGAAUCACUGGGCGUAAAGGACGCGUAGGCGGGUUGGAAAGUCAGGUGUGAAAUCCUAGAGCUUAACUGUAGAACUGCACUUGAAACUUCUAAUCUAGAGUAUGGGAGGGGGAGGUGGAAUUAGAGGUGUAGGGGUAAAAUCCGUAGAUAUCACUAGGAAUACCUAAAGCGAAGGCGAUCUCCUGGAACAUUACUGACGCUAAGGCGUGAAAGCGUGGGGAGCAAACAGGAUUAGAUACCCUCGUAGUC
rnacentral:rRNA from 1 species